rnacentral:rRNA from 4 species
CCUACGGGAGGCAGCAGUGGGGAAUCUUGCACAAUGGAGGAAACUCUGAUGCAGCGAUGCCGCGUGAGUGAAGAAGGCCCUUGGGUUGUAAAGCUCUUUCGUCGGGGAAGAAAAUGACUGUACCCGAAUAAGAAGGUCCGGCUAACUUCGUGCCAGCAGCCGCGGUAAU